UUUUUGGCGAGCAGCGCGGAGCCUGGAGGAGCUGCAGAGCCAUGAGGAGGAACACGCAGCCAGAAGAGAGCCACUUGGACCGGAGAGGCUUCACCAGAGCCUGCAGCUCCACCUGCAGCUCCACCUGCAGCUCCACCUGCCCGGCCAGCAGAGAGGUCUCGUGACACGAUGACAUGAUGUUAUUAUAGUGAAGCCAUAUUGUAAAUAGUCAAUAGUUGUGUUCUGUUUUCUAUUGUUAGGUUGUAAUAGUUUAUUUUGAUAUUGCACAUGUACAGAGGUCUUAUGCUUUAAAUUAAUACAUAUAGAAAGAUAUUAUAACGGGAAAUAUUAGGGAGAAUAUUGAUAUUGUUGUUAAUGUGUUAUGAAGCAUAGGGGUAAUGUCUACUCUAUGCAUAUGUCGAUGGCAAGAAGUAAUGUUAUGUAUGUGCAUGGAGUGAAUGUUAGUUUAGUAUUAUUUUAGAACUGUUGGAGCCGGUUGAAGCCCGUGAAGGUGACUAAUGCUGACAAAAUGGUGGACGGGACUUUUAUUGUGAAAAUACUUGACCGGGAAUGACAUUUUGACCGGGGGAUCAUGACAUUCGACCCCUCAUUGUUCUAGUGAGACUUUGAACCAACGAGAAGGUGUUAAGGGUGGGACUAACCUGUGAGAAUAGGUGAUUGGCUGAUGUUUUACUAACACACGAUGCAUUGGGAGACUCGUUCUCUUUCGUCCUGAUGCCGGUUAGGCAGCAACACUUGUUUCUCCGUGGAGCAUUGUACCUGCGGAGCCUUGCAUCAUCACGGAACCCACGAUCGUGAGCUUUGGAUUAUUUGUUAACCUUUCGUUUAUACUCCUUGCCAUUAAAUACUGUUAAACUUGA